UCAGGGGACGAAGCCUAGGGGCACGAACCGGAUUAGAUACCCGGGUAGUCCUAGGGUGUAAACGCUGUGGACUUGGUGUUGGGGAACUCUCCGAGAUUCCCUCAGUGCCGAAGCGAAGGUGAUAAGUCCACUGCCUGGGGAGUACGGUCGCAAGGCUGAAACUUAAAGGAAUUGGCGGGGGAGCACCGCAACCUGAGGAUUGUGCGGUUUAAUUGGAUUCAACGCCGGAAAACUCACCAGUGCCGACGGACAAAUGAAAGCCAGUGUGAUGAGCUUGCUGGAUUGUUCGAGAGGUAGUGCAUGGCCGCCGUCAGUUCGUACCGUAAGGCGUUCUGUUAAGUCAGAUAACGAACGAGACCCUCAUCCCUAUUUGCUAAGGUCAGUCCGCUGAUCACAGGACUAUAGGGAGACCGCUGGCGCGAAGUCAGAGGAAGGCGAGGGCAACGGUAGGUCAGUAUGCUCCGAAUGCACUGGGCUACACGCGCAAUACAAAGGACGGGACAAUGGGCCGCUGCGCCGAGAGGCAUGUGGCUAUCCCGAAACCCGUUCGUAGAGCUCGGAUUGAGGGCUGUAACUCGCCCUCAUGAAGCUGGAUUAGGUAGUAAUCGCGUCUCAAAAAGGCGCGGUGAAUAUGC
rnacentral:rRNA from 1 species